rnacentral:rRNA from 1 species
AUCAACGCUGGCGGCGUGCCUAACACAUGCAAGUCGAGCGAGAAAGCCGGUAGCAAUACUGGUGAGUAGAGUGGCGACCGGGUGAGUAACACGUGGAUAACCUACCGCUGAGUGGGGAAUAACCUUGGGAAACCGGGGCUAAUACCGCAUAACACCUCGGGACUUCGGUCCUGGGGUUGAAACCCGCAAGGGGCUUGGCGAGGGGUCCGCGGCCGAUUAGCUAGUUGGGGAGGUAACGGCCCACCAAGGCCAUGAUCGGUAGCCGGCCUGAGAGGGCGGACGGCCACACUGGAACUGAAACACGGUCCAGACUCCUACAGGAGGCAGCAGUGGGGAAUUUUGCGCAAUGGGGGAAACCCUGACGCAGCAACGCCGCGUGGACGAUGAAGCUUCUUGGAGUGUAAAGUCCUUUCGGCAGGGACGAAGCCCGAGCAAUCGGGUUGACGGUACCUGAAGAAGAAGCCCCGGCUAACUCCGU